UACGGGGGGGGCAAGCGUUGUUCGGAAUUACUGGGCGUAAAGGGCUCGUAGGCGGCCAACUAAGUCAGACGUGAAAUCCCUCGGCUUAACCGGGGAACUGCGUCUGAUACUGGAUGGCUUGAAUCCGGGAGAGGGAUGCGGAAUUCCUGGUGUAGCGGUGAAAUGCGUAGAUAUCUGGAGGAAUACCAGUGGCGAAGGCGGCAUCCUGGACCAUUUACUGACGCUGAGGCGCGAAAGCUAGGGGAGCAAACGGG
rnacentral:rRNA from 1 species